CCACUGUGGUUUCUACUGUCUGUUUAGGAGACUUCACAGAAAAAGGGGGAUGGCCUCAGCGGCAGGCUGAGGAGCAGGUGGCGUUUUAUAGACAGGGACCUGGAACAACAUGCUUUGCGAGGAGAGGGAGGAGCAGAGAGCAGAGGCAGGAUGAGGACAGCCCCGAAAGGCUACUGGGCCUGGUCUGUGGGCCUGGCGAUGACUUCGGUGCUGCCCGGGUCCCAGCAGCUGGCCGGUGGGAGGCCGCUGAGGCCGUUCCUCGUGACCGUCAGCCGUGUGCAGCCCUGCCAGCUCCAAGGCCCCAGGCUCAGAGUGGACACCGCCAGUGAGUCUUGGGAGUUUCCAGGACAAGAAAGUGACCGGCCCAGGUGAACAGCUUCCCCCCAGACCGGUCAGCAACAUUCUGGUGAGGACACAGCAUUGAUCCUCUCCCAGGGGCUUCUGGAACAAGGAGCAAAAUGGGAUCAGAAAGCUCAGCUCCGAGAAGUGCCCUUGAGAGAGCAGCUGUCAGGAAGUGAACAGGAACACCCAGGGCAGCCCCUCCUCCGUCAGAAGACACUCGCCACCGUUUGCAUUUUGUCUGCGGCUUUGGUAGUAGAAACAGGAAAAACAUGAACACCCGUGUUGUUAUGAUUUUGAUCCUGCACUAGGACACUGAGAUCUCAGAGGCUUAGAAAGAAGCAGCAGAUUCUCUAGAAAAUGCUGUGCAAGGGGAAUGAUUUUUUACAGAUGUCCCUUCUUUGCGAGUUGCCUGCUUGCUACAGAGACCCCAUGCCUUUACCAUAGUGGCAGGUGCCUGGCAUCUCCUCCUCCCUCCUCAAUUCCAACUCCCUUUACACAUUUUCUUUCUGGGACUAUGGGGCCUUGGGACUUGUCAGCUGAACCACAGUUGAGCCCAUCCUGUAGAGUAAACCUUGUAGCCAAUUCUUUAUAAUAAAUCUUUUUAUAUAUGUGUGUA